rnacentral:lncRNA from 1 species
UUGGAUUGGAUUGGUUGACACGACCAUAUAAGUCAUGUUAUACUGUUAAAUAACAAGCUUUCAAUCUUCAAUAUCAAUUUAUAUUAUAGAAAAUUAGUGUGCUUAGGAGCCUGUGAUGAUUAAAUAAACCAAGUUUUUACCAUGACUGCAAUUUUAGAGAGACACAAAAGCGAAAGCCUAUGGGGUCGCUCUGUAACUGGAUAACCAACACCCAAAAUCAUCUUUACAUUGGAUGGUUUGGUGUUUUGAUGAUCCCUACCAUUGUUUCUG